GACGAACGCUGGCGGCGUGCCUAAUACAUGCAAGUCGAACGCAUUUUCUUUCACCGUAGCUUGCUACACCGAAAGAAAAUGAGUGGCGAACGGGUGAGUAACACGUGGGUAACCUGCCCAUCAGCGGGGGAUAACACUUGGAAACAGGUGCUAAUACCGCAUAAUUCCAUUUACUGCAUGGUAGAUGGAUGAAAGGCGCUUUUGCGUCACUGAUGGAUGGACCCGCGGUGCAUUAGCUAGUUGGUGGGGUAACGGCCUACCAAGGCUGCGAUGCAUAGCCGACCUGAGAGGGUGAUCGGCCACACUGGGACUGAGACACGGCCCAGACUCCUACGGGAGGCAGCAGUAGGGAAUCUUCGGCAAGGGACGCAAGUCUGACCGAGCAACGCCGCGUGAGUGAAGAAGGUUUUCGGAUCGUAAAACUCUGUUGUUAGAAAAGAACAAGGAUGAGAGUGGAAAGUUCAUCCCUUGACGGUAUCUAACCAGAAAGCCACGGCUAACUACGUG
rnacentral:rRNA from 1 species